rnacentral:rRNA from 1 species
CAGGGAAUUUUGGACAAUGGGGGCAACCCUGAUCCAGCCAUGCCGCGUGAGUGAAGAAGGCCUUCGGGUUGUAAAGCUCUUUCGGCCGGGAAGAAAUCGCAUGGGCUAAUACCCUGUGCGGAUGACGGUACUGGCAUAAGAAGCACCGGCUAACUACGUGCUAGCAGCCGCGGUAAUACGUAGGGUGCGAGCGUUAAUCGGAAUUACUGGGCGUAAAGCGUGCGCAGGCGGUUUUGUAAGACAGGCGUGAAAUCCCCGGGCUCAACCUGGGAACUGCGUUUGUGACUGCAAGGCUAGAGUACGGCAGAGGGGGGUGGAAUUCCACGUGUAGCAGUGAAAUGCGUAGAGAUGUGGAGGAACACCAAUGGCGAAGGCAGCCCCCUGGGUCGAUACUGACGCUCAUGCACGAAAGCGUGGGUAGCAAACAG